rnacentral:rRNA from 1 species
UACGUAGGGGGCUAGCGUUGUUCGGAUUUAUUGGGCGUAAAGAGCGUGUAGGCGGCCUGGUAGGUCUGCUGUGAAAACUCGAGGCUCAACCUCGAGAUGUCGGCGGAAACCAUCUGGCUAGAGUCCGGAAGAGGAGAGUGGAAUUCCUGGUGUAGCGGUGAAAUGCGCAGAUAUCAGGAAGAACACCUAUGGCGAAGGCAGCUCUUUGGGACGGUACUGACGCUGAGACGCGAAAGCGUGGGGAGCGAACAGG